rnacentral:rRNA from 1 species
CUACGGGAGGCUCCAGUGGGGAAUAUUGCACAAUGGAGGAAACUCUGAUGCAGCAACGCCGCGUGGAGGAUGACACUUUUCGGAGCGUAAACUCCUUUUAUAUAGGAAGAAGAUGACGGUACUAUAUGAAUAAGCGCCGGCUAACUCCGUGCCAGCAGCCGCGGCAAUAGGAGGGCGCAAGCGUUACUCGGAAUCACUGGGCGUAAAGAGCGUGUAGGCGGAUUAAAAAGUCAGAAGUGAAAUCCUAUAGCUUAACUAUAGAACUGCUUCUGAAACUCUUAAUCUAGAAUAUGGGAGAGGUAGAUGGAAUUUCUGGUGUAGGGGUAAAAUCCGUAGAGAUCAGAAGGAAUACCGAUUGCGAAGGCGAUCUACUAGAACAUUAUUGACGCUGAGACGCGAAAGCGUGGGGUGCAAACAGGAUUAGAUACCCCUGUAGUC